rnacentral:piRNA from 1 species
UGUCAAAAGGGAGAUACGCUGGUGAGA